rnacentral:rRNA from 1 species
GGCCAGACUCCUACGGGAGGCAGCAGUGGGGAAUAUUGCACAAUGGGGGAAACCCUGAUGCAGCAACGCCGCGUGAGUGAAGAAGUAUUUCGGUAUGUAAAGCUCUAUCGGCAGGGAAGAAGAAAGACGGUACCUGACUAAGAAGCCCCGGCUAACUACGUGCCAGCAGCCGCGGUAAUACGUAGGGGGCAAGCGUUAUCCGGAUUUACUGGGUGUAAAGGGAGCGUAGACGGCGAUGCAAGUCUGAAGUGAAAGGCGGGGGCCCAACCCCCGGACUGCUUUGGAAACUGUAUAGCUGGAGUGCAGGAGAGGUAAGUGGAAUUCCUAGUGUAGCGGUGAAAUGCGUAGAUAUUAGGAGGAACACCAGUGGCGAAGGCGGCUUACUGGACUGUAACUGACGUUGAGGCUCGAAAGCGUGGGGAGCAAACAGGAUUAGAUACCCCGGUAC